rnacentral:lncRNA from 1 species
CAAUACAAAAUGGACUAUCAAAAAUGCAUUACAUAUUCACAGCUGAUUAUAAAAACAAAUACAGAUAGAUCCGAACUUAAUAUAUUACUCCAACAAAUAAUACAAUCAAACACAUGCAUAUCAGGAAAUUCAGAAAUCGCUUCCAACCCACACAAAGGACGCAAUAUCACCAUCAAAUGUUGACUUUCUAUAAAAAAAUUCCUGUUACGGCACAACAACC